rnacentral:lncRNA from 1 species
UCAAUCGGGAUCAACCGUGCAAGAACUAUAGUCUGCACUUGGAAUUUGAGAAGUUCAAUUCCUGUUUGGCUGAUGCUGCAUUUCUGGUAGUGGCUCGAAGUGCUUCUUGAGGUUCAGCGUGUCUUAUUUGAGGGAAAUUGUGAGAUGAUACUCUUUCCCUUUGUGUAGGGGAGAUUUGCUAAGAAUCUAUAUCUAUCUAUAUAUAUAUAUAUAAAAGCAUAAACCACUUUUAGAAACCACUGCCAAAAAUAGUAAUUUAUGUUUUUCUGCAAAAAUUACCUUACUUUACUAUUUAUAAUUUUGUUUUUGUUUUUGUUUUUGUUUUUUUUGUCUUCUUCACAUCAUGCGUAUUUUUUUAUUGUAAUUUUUAUAUUGUCCAAAUAAUAUAUAAGUUAAGUUUUAUCAAUA